UAUCAGAGAACUAGUAAGACAGCAAAUUUAAGUACACAUUGAAAAGAAAAAACACUUUGUUACACGAAGCUGAAGUAAGGGAAACUUGUAACAAGACAGGCUCAAACAGAGGUACCAACUACAGGGUAUAAUUUGAAUCUAGGAAAAAGCACCCUGAAUGCAUGGGAAGAACUGAUGUUCUAAAAUGCUUCAUAUCUAAGAACUAUACUUAAGAACGAGAUUACUGUAAGAACUUAAACCUGUUGACAUGUUUCUUUUCCAAUAAAUAUAAAAUGCAUA